GUCAUGAAUCGCGGGGCAACCCCGACUCGACUCGGCGAGUUUCUUCUAUAGCCACACUCAAAUGACCUUCUGAGGUCAGAUCUACUUCUCUAACCUAAGUUGCACAUAGGUGACUCAGCGAGUCCAAGCGUGUCCUCUGGAUCCUUCUAAAGCCUCACUCGACUCGUCGAGUGAACCUUCCACUCGACGAGUUACCACUGGUCAUGAAUCGCGGGGCAACCCCGACUCGACUCGGCGAGUUUCUUCUAUAGCCACACUCAAAUGACCUUCUGAGGUCAGAUCUACUUCUCUAACCUAUAGAUCUGACCUUCCAAUACACAAUAACCAUGUAAAGGUCCAACCUUUACACUCAUGCAACACUCAUAGGGCUUCUUUUGGUGAAAUAGCUUCUAAAAUGGCAACCUAGGUUCAUAUCUCCAAAGGAAUAGU
rnacentral:lncRNA from 1 species